rnacentral:lncRNA from 1 species
GGAAUGCAGCAGCUUCUUGACAACCGAAUCACAGCUAGUAUGAUGUAUCCUUGAACUAAACAGUCCAGUGGUCAUCCCCUGACUGCUGCUGCCCCAGCUCAUCCAAUCAUUUGCUUCUUUGAUUCCUGGGCCAGGUGCAUAUUUUGCUCCGUGAUGAAGGACAUCAACAAGUUUCUGUUGCAGAAUACCCCCAACAUUCAAACUGGAGUUUGGAGGUGAAGGGAACCUGAAAAAGCUGAUCUACUGGGAUGCAUAAAAUCUGCUUCAGGACUGAUGAAGUUGCAUUUCUGAACUAGUAUUAAAAGGGUGAGAGAGAUUUAUGUGAAACAACUGAAACAUUUCAGUGUCAAAAUACUCCCAAAUACAGAACAACAGAGUAGAUCUGUGUGCUCACUCUUGCAAGAAAGGAAGAAGGAGGAUCUGGAGGAAAUUGAACAAUAAAGCUUCCUAGCUGAAUCCAGUAAAUUUUCCCAACCUCUCCAGAAUAUGAAAAAAAAAAAUGUUGCUUUUCUGUUUUGGUAAUUUUUCACAGUUAUGAAAGAAUUGGUGAGAGCAGUUUAGGAGAUGCAAUGACACUGUAUAACAGAAGAAAAAUAAAAGGUAAUAAGUA